AGCAUCCGUCACCAUCGGCGUCCUUGCGCGUAGUGUUGUUGUAGCGUGUAACCGAAGUGGUUUUCCUCGGAGCCUCGGAAGAUUUGCACCCGCUUGGAGUUGAGGUUGAAGCACACGAGCGCGUCUGCAACACAACGACGACAACCACAUCGCAAUUGAACGUGAGAGUCAAAGGCGAGCCGUUUCAGCCGUGAGGAAGACUUUUUGGGAGGCUGAGCGCGCCGCAGAGGUCGCGGAAAGCUUUUCCUGUCGGUGCAAAUGCCACGCACGCUGUCGUGCAGCUAUUCCAACACUGAAUAUUGCGCAGGCCAGGAACUCAUUCCGGACUGUCGACAUCCGUCCGAAUGUCGACAGUCUCGAUACCGAGUCAGGAUCGGUAGCGAGACUGGCGCGAUGAGCUCGAUCCGGUAGUUUGACUUUCGUGCUAGCAUGCGCCGCCGGGGUUCCGUCCAAGAGGCGGCAGCCGGGUCGCCGGACUCGCGCAGCGGGCACACUUCGCCCCCCCUCCCCCAACUUGCGUUAACCGUGUCGUACCGUCACAUAUUAGGACCUGGGUGCCAACUAUUUCGCAAUUGAGCAAUUUCACGAUGCGUCGACCUCAAUUGUUGGAAAAGCAGCGACGUCGGCCGUUCUGGCCCCGUGUUGACUGGGUAUUGCAUCGCAUGUUCGAUCGCUUCGACGUCUCUUUUUGCUAAAACGCUACACGGAACUCACACAACCACACACGCAAAUACUCCCAUCGUUUGCAAAAUCAAAGCCUCUUGUAAAAACUAUACACUCUGAAAAACAAAAUGCGAAAGAGCCGUUUCGCGUGACUUGAUUUGGUUUGCCGACCUGAGACGCUUUUGGCAAGUCAGUGGCCUUCUCAGCGAUCCGAGUACUGUAAGUGAAGAACACAGAGCAAGUGCAAAUCUCCAACACGUUUGUUCGCUCAGCGAACACGAGACCCGGACUUCCCUCUCCUUAUCCACUUCGUCCAGCUCUUCUGGGGGGAUCCCGAGGCGUUCCCGAGCCAACCUGGAGAGGGGUCUCUCCAGGUUGGGGUCUUCCUCCCCGUGGGACGUGCGCAGAAUACCUCACCGGGGAGGCGUGUAGGGGGCAACUUAACCAAAAUUUUGAGCCACCUCAUCUGGCUACCCUCGAUGCAUAAGAGUAGCGGCUCGACUCUGAGCCCCACCCGGAUGACCGAGCUUCUCACCUAGGACUCGUUCUUCAGCUUGACGGCAUCCCUCACCUUUGGUGUCCACCAACGGGUUCGGGGAUCGCCGCCACGACAGGCACCGACCACCUUACGGCCACAGCUCCGGUCAUCCGCAUCGACAAUGGAGGUGUGGAACGUGGUCCGCUCUGACUCAAUGUCCGCCGCCUCCCCCGGGAUGUGGGCGAAGUUCCGUCGGAGGUGGCAGUCGAAACUCCUUCUGACAGGGGGCUCUGCCAGACAUUCCCAGCAGGCCCUCACAAUACGUUUGGGCCUGCCACCAUCGGACCCAACCCACCACCAUCACCUUUGCUUUACCUGAAAGCUCCGCGAUGCGGUCUGCUCAGGAAAGCAGGGACGAAUCCACACAAUUCCUUUCCCCCGACGCCGUAAUUUGAGGGCAACCACUCAAUUCACAGGAAAUCAGUCUGGCAUGCAUUCCAAUCGCUGACCAAUUACAAGUGAUGAUCCCCCCAAGCUGAGAACAGUAACACACUAGCCAACGACUUGAAUACCUUCUACUGCAGAUUUAAAAAGGACGCUUUCACACCGCACACCCACCCGGCCGCACCCCGACCACAAUCACACCUCUGACUUCUGCGUUGACCAUCCGCGAACAGGAUGUGAGACGCAUCAUCAAACAACAAAAAAUUAACAAAGCGGCAGGCCCGGACCACGUGUCCCCAUCCUACCUCAAAGUCAGCGCGGACCAGCUCGCUCCAGUCUUCACACAGAUCUUCAACAGAUCUCUGGAACUGUGCGAAGUACCAAGCUGUUUCAAACGCUCCACCAUCAUUCCAGUCCCCAAGAAACCUGCAAUCUCGGGUCUAAAUGACUACAGGCCUGUCACCUUGACAUUUGUGGUCAUGAAGUCCUUUGAAUGUCUCGUGCUGGACCACCUCACGAGCGUCACAGGUCCCCUGCUGCCCCCCUGCAGUUUGCCUACCGAGCGAACAGGUCUGCGGAUGAUGCAGUCAGCAUGGGACUGCACUUCGUCCUUGAACACCUCGACAGUGCAGGGACCUACGCGAGGAUCCUGUUCCUGUUCUUCAGCUCAGCGUUCAACACCAUCAUCCCUGAACUCCUUUCCUCCAAGCUUCUCCAGCUCAGCGUCUCGCCUGUCAUCGGUCCUGUGUUCUUCCAUCACAGUCUGGUUUGGUGCUGCUACAAAAAAGGACAAACUCCGACUGCAACGGACAAUCAAAACUGCUGAAAGGAUUGUCGGUACCCCCUACCCACCCUUGAGGACUUGCACGCUGCCAGAACUAAGACAAGAGCGUGCAAAAUCCUCUCGGACCCUCCGGUCACCGGCUCUUCUGGCUCCUUCCCUCUGGUAGGCGCUACCGAUCAAUGCAAACUAGAACUAGUAGACAUUCCAACAGCUUCUUCCCUCUUGCGAUCAACUUCUUAAACAGCUGACCUAUAAUUCCAUUACAACAAGCUGGCAAUUUUUUGUCUUGAGUUCGUCGUCCCAUUUCUGUGGGGCCAACGAUGCAUUAGUCGUGCACUCGCUGUCGUUGUCUCGCCGCGCUGCACUAUUUGCAUAUACUGGCCACUCAUGCCAGAGUAGCAUCUGCUCCAUUUGCACACCGAUUGAGGAGUAUCUGCAACAUUUGCACAAUCGACAUUGUCCCAGACGAUCGCGCCACUCGUCACUUGAAACCGCAUCCGCGCCUUGAAGUCUCGGCGCCCCUUGCGCGAUGGUCAUUGCGCCGGACUAUUGCGAUAUUAGUCAUUCCAACUGCUCGAAGCGCAAGAGGACUCUGCAUCUUUUUGCACAAUUGUCCAAAAAUAUAGAAUCAAAUCAAAUAUAUUGUACCGGCAUUACCAGACAACUAGCAGCCCUUUACUGCUCAGUGACUGUUUUUUUUUCGUGUCUCCAAAGCGUUCUCUGUCCAUCGACCGUCUGUUGUCGCACUCGAGCGGCUCCAACAAUUCCUGAUUCGGAGUCAGAUCAAUCCAAAUUGGGAAUAAUAACUGGACUCAACAUUAGAAGCUGGCUUCAUACUAUCAUACUAUCAUUGAGUCCCAAAAAUGAAAAAUGUCUGUCUUUCUGAUGUUUAUUAUGAAAUGGGCUGCAAAAUCUUAUCAAAUAUCUAUCGGCAAUCUCCAAUGGAGCAAGAAGCUUGCUCUUUUCUUUUGCCUUUUGUUGUUCUGUUUUGAAUUGAUUUUAUCUUCCUUCUGACGUUCUUUCCGGCACUGUAACGCACUGAGCUGCAAUCCUUGUAUGAAAUGUGCUAACCGACUUGUUUGUUGUUCUAUGAUGAUCAUGAUCCACCCAUUUUCCGUACCGCUUGUGAUUUUUUUGGAAUGGUUAUUAUGAACGUGUGUAUUUGUUGUCUUUUUUGUCUCUGAGCUGUCUGGCAAGCAGGUUGGAAGCCGGUCAGCUGUCGCGCCGUCAGGAAUGCGUUCGCAGAGCCAGGUUUCAGUCCACAAAAGUCAAAGUUCAAACAAAAAUCAAAAGCUGGAUAUGAGACGAAAGUUCCGAAUUCCGGCUUUCAUUUCCUGGCAUUUUCAUCUUGAUGUGUUCAACAACUCGGGACAGAGCACCUUUUGUUUGAAGCCACCCACUUUUCAAGAGAGAGAGAGAGAGAGAGAGCGCCCCCUACCGCACACAGCGACCUCAACGCGUGCACGUGUGCUGACUGUGCGCGCCUCGGCCAAUGAAUGUAGAGCACGCGCACGCGCACGCGCACGCACUUGACUUUUCACUUCCACGCAAGCCGUGUUGGAAUCGAUCAGCUUUGAAAAAACACAACGUGUCUUUCUUUCUCUCUCGCACGCACGCGCACAGGCGCACGCGCGCACGCUACGAGCCGAGCGCGCUGGAAGCAACAAGUGGAAAAUUGUGGUCACAACUAACGAGAAGCAGACGUGGAUGGAAUGGAUGGCCGCUCGUCGGGCUGUCAGUGAACGCAACACCACGUCCACACAUCCUCUUCAUCAUCCUCGUCAUCACCACGAAGACUCGCAGGUGCUCUCACACCUGCUCCACCGACCUAAAAAAAACGAGGACCUCUUGAAGAAGCUCUUCAAGGAACUUUUUCUUUCUUUAUUUUUUUGACUUGGGAAUUGUGAAGUACUCAUGUUAUGUUUCAUUGCGACACGAUGGUAUUAGGUAUUAGGAGGUGGACUGAGUCUGGUCAGCCCCCCCCCCCCCCCACUGAAGGUCCAGGUACCAGAUGCCCCAACUCUCGGUACAGUCCACAUUAGGCGGGAGCACUUCUGACGAGUGUUCUGCGCCAUUUUGAGCGCUCUAAUCGGAGGCAGUAUGACACAAAACAUCCCGAUUUGAGGCCGCCGGUUUCCUUGGUUUAUUCGAGAGAGGGACGCUCUUUGCCAAGAACGGGUGAGAAGAAAAACAAAGACACCGCCGUAGCUCGAUCUUGUCUGCUCAUUACCGAUUGCGGAACUCGGCUGUGAGAGACGACCUCGUGGGGUCGGACCGCCGCCCAAACCCCAAACGUCCCAAAUCUCCGUUGCAGACGUACGGGGGCUCGGUCGUGCGGGCAUCCUCCGUCUGGAAGAAACGCGAUCCAUCCUCAGCGAACUGGAUUUUUCCCUCACCGCUUCAAGCCAUCCGGACACAAUCGGCAGAAUCGUCGGGCUCUCCUCCGUUGAAAGCGAGGAAAUCUUCAAGGGUGCCAAGAGGAAAAUACCACCGACAUGCUAAUGGUUAGCUUGGGUAGUUUCAAUUUUAAAACUUAUAAAGUUCACAUAUAUAUAGAGUGCCAUUUUCCUUAUG